GACGAACGCUGGCGGCGUGCUUAACACAUGCAAGUCGAACGGAAAGGCCCUGCUUUUGUGGGGUGCUCGAGUGGCGAACGGGUGAGUAACACGUGAGUAACCUGCCCUUGACUUUGGGAUAACUUCAGGAAACUGGGGCUAAUACCGGAUAGGAGCUCCUGCUGCAUGGUGGGGGUUGGAAAGUUUCGGCGGUUGGGGAUGGACUCGCGGCUGAUCAGCUUGUUGGUGGGGUAGUGGCUUACCAAGGCUUUGACGGGUAGCCGGCCUGAGAGGGUGACCGGCCACAUGGGGACUGAGAUACGGCACAGACUCGUAUGGGAGGCAGCAGUGGGGAAUAUUGCACAAUGGGAGGAAGCCUGAUGCAGCAACGCCGCGUGCGGGAUGACGGCCUUCGGGUUGUAAACAGCUUUCGCCUGUGACGAAGCGUGAGUGACGGUAAUGGGUAAAGAAGCACCGGCUAACUACGUG
rnacentral:rRNA from 1 species